CCUACGGGAGGCAGCAGUGGGGGAUAUUGCACAAUGGGGGGAACCCUGAUGCAGCGACGCCGCGUGGGUGAAGAAGCGCCUCGGCGCGUAAAGCCCUGUCAGCAGGGAAGAAAAUGACGGUACCUGAAGAAGAAGCCCCGGCUAACUACGUGCCAGCAGACGCGGUAAUACGUAGGGGGCAAGCGUUCUCCGGGUGUACGGGGUGUAACGGGGGCGGAGGCGGCGAUGCAAGCCAGGAGUGAAAGCCCGGGGCCCAACCCCGGGACUGCUCUUGGAACUGCGUGGCGGGAGUGCAGGAGGGGCAGGCGGAAUUCCUGGUGUAGCGGUGAAAUGCGGAGAUAUCAGGAGGAACACCGGUGGCGAAGGCGGCCUGCUGGACUGCAACGGACGUUGAGGCCCGAAAGCGUGGGGAGCAAACAGGAUUAGAUACCCUAGUAGUC
rnacentral:rRNA from 1 species